rnacentral:rRNA from 1 species
GAUGAACGCUGGCGGCGUGCCUAAUACAUGCAAGUCGAGCGAACAGACGAGGAGCUUGCUCCUCUGACGUUAGCGGCGGACGGGUGAGUAACACGUGGAUAACCUACCUAUAAGACUGGGAUAACUUCGGGAAACCGGAGCUAAUACCGGAUAAUAUAUUGAACCGCAUGGUUCAAUAGUGAAAGACGGUUUUGCUGUCACUUAUAGAUGGAUCCGCGCCGCAUUAGCUAGUUGGUAAGGUAACGGCUUACCAAGGCAACGAUGCGUAGCCGACCUGAGAGGGUGAUCGGCCACACUGGAACUGAGACACGGUCCAGACUCCUACGGGAGGCAGCAGUAGGGAAUCUUCCGCAAUGGGCGAAAGCCUGACGGAGCAACGCCGCGUGAGUGAUGAGGGUCUUCGGAUCGUAAAACUCUGUUAUUAGGGAAGAACAAAUGUGUAAGUAACUAUGCACGACUUGACGGUACCUAAUCAGAAAGCCACGGCUAACUACGUG